rnacentral:rRNA from 1 species
GAUGAACGCUAGCGGCAGGCCUAAUACAUGCAAGUCGGACGGGAUUCAGGAGCUUGCUUCUGAUGAGAGUGGCGCACGGGUGCGUAACACGUAUGUAACCUACCUUUAUCAGGGGGAUAGCCUCUCGAAAGAGAGAUUAAGCCCGCAUAAAAUCACAGCACAGCAUUGUGUAAUGAUCAAAUAUUUAUAGGAUAAAGAUGGGCAUGCGGAACAUUAGCUAGAUGGCGGGGUAACGGCCCACCAUGGCGACGAUGUUUAGGGGAUCUGAGAGGAUGGCCCCCCACACUGGUACUGAGCCACGGACCAGACUCCUACGGGAGGCAGCAGUAAGGAAUAUUGGUCAAUGGGCGGAAGCCUGAACCAGCCAUGCCGCGUGCAGGAAGACGGCCCUACGGGUUGUAAACUGCUUUUAUACGGGAAUAAACCCAGAUACGUGUAUCUGGCUGAAUGUACUGUAAGAAUAAGGAUCGGCUAACUCCGUG